UGGUGGGAGGACAAUCUGAAAGUAUUUCUCUUUGCACACAACAGCAGCGUCCAGGCCUCCAGAAUACUCGCCCUAUCACCUGCUGUACGGACGGAAGCCGCAACUGUUUACUGAGGUAAGCAAUGCAAUUGUGUAUAAAUUAUUGCCUGUAGUGUAGUAUGAAACGUUUGUGAUUUUCUUUGUGUUUUUCUAUUGUUGUUUUUGUAUAACAUACUUUAUUAUCACUGAAACAAGUUGUUGAACCAGAUCAGAAUGCCUUCGAGGACCACCUUCAAGCAGGGACUGAGAAGGAUGUGGAGGUUUUUGACCAGGUAAAAAUGUCUGCUGUUCAUUUAUUUUCUGGCCUUCCAAGAGAGAUGUAUUUGUAAUAACAUAAAAUAUAAUUGCAUUUAUUUCUAUUAUCAAUCAAGGUGAGACUGAACAUGGAGAAGGUGCAGGAGAAACAGAAUGAGAGCCACCGGAGGAGAAUCAAGGAGACAAAAUGCUUUGAACAUCCGGGCUAAUGACUUGGCUUGGAAGAAAGACAAAAGGAAGGCGAGACCUGCGAAACCUUCCUGCUCUUUCGCUCCUAGCUGGGGUCACCAUCCGUUAAGGGGAAUAUAAAAAUCUCACAUAUCUAUUUACAUUUGCCUCCUCGUGGUGGGUGGCAUCGCCAUGCUGUCAGCAGUACCAACACUGGCCCAGGGGUUAUCUCCAAAUAGUCAAUCUCAAGGCCAACCGCUGGGUCACGUUAAGUGACCUGGGGCGUCAGGUAGCCUAGUGGUUAGAGGGGGCGGCAGGUAGCCUAGUGGUUAGAGCGUUGGGACAGUAACCAAAAAGUUGCUGGAUCGAAUCCCUGAGCUGACAAGGUAAAUAUAUGUAAUUCUUCCCCUGAACAAGGCAGUUAACCCACUGUUCCCCGGUAGGCACUCAUUAAAAACUAACUUGCCUACUUAAAUGAAGGUUAAAACAUUUUUUUGAAGUAACCGCCGCUUCCAAGUAGGUACUGUUAAAGUGUAUGAUUCCAGUGGUCAUGUCAUCACCUUGGAGUUUCUCUCACAACUCAUCACCAUCUUUUCCAGGGACCAUCCCUUACCUCCCUCAUCAACCCCACAGACAGGACCAAGGAGGUUCUACCCAACACCCAGACGUGGAUCUACCUGAUGUCCUCCAUUACCUGUUCUCCAGGACCUAGGGGGGUUCUGCCCAACACCCAGACGUGGAUCUACCUGAUGUCCUCCAUUACCUGUUCUCCAGGACCUAGAGGUUCUACCCAACACCCAGACCCACCUGAUGUCCUCCAUUACCUGUUCUCCAGGACCUAGGGGGGUUCUGCCCAACACCCAGACGUGGAUCUACCUGAUGUCCUCCAUUACCUGUUCUCCAGGACCUAGGGGGUUCUGCCAAACACCCAGACGUGGAUCUACCUGAUGUCCUCCAUUACCUGUUCUCCAGGACCUAGGGGGUUCUGCCCAACACCCAGACGUGGAUCUACCUGAUGUCCUCCAUUACCUGUUCUCCAGGACCUAGGUGGGUUCUGCCAAACACCCAGACCCACCUGAUGUGCUCCAUUACCUGUUCUCCAGGACCUAGGGGUUCUGCCCAACACCCAGACGUGGAUCUAUCUGAUGUCCUCCAUUACCUGUUCUCCAGGACCUAGGGGGUUCUGCCCAACACCCAGACCCACCUGAUGUCCUCCAUUACCUGUUCUCCAGGACCUUGGGGGUUCUGCCCAACACCCAGACCCACCUGAUGUCCUCCAUUACCUGUUCUCCAGGACCUAGGGGGGUUCUGCCCAAACACCCAGACCCACCUGAUGUCCUCCAUUACCUGUUAUCCAGGACCUAGGGGGUUCUGCCCAACACCCAGACCCACCUGAUGUCCUCCAUUACCUGUUCUCCAGGACCUAGGGGGGUUCUGCCCAAACAUCCAGACGUGGAUCCACCUGAUGUCCUCCAUUACCUGUUCUCCAGGACCUAGGGGGGUUCUACCCAGACCCACCUGAUGUCCUCCAUUACCUGUUCUCCAGGACCUAGGGGGUUCUACCCAACACCCAGACCCACCUGUUGUCCUCCAUUACCUGUUCUCCAGGACCUAGGAGGUUCUGCCAAACACCCAGACGUGGAUCCACCUGAUGUCCUCCAUUACCUGUUCUCCAGGACCUAGGGGGUUCUGCCCAACA
ensembl:lncRNA